GUUACAUUUAAAGGGAGGUGAGGAGAAAAUGCCCUUUUUUUCUCCACAGGGUUGUAACUAACAGACAGCAGCCAGACCUUUUCCAGCUUGGAGCCUUUGUUUCUCCUGCUUAUUUCUCCAAACACUACCUGUCUUUGUAGGGAAGUUCCAUGUCCAUGCUGUCCAGCAAUGAUUCAAGAUUUAACCAUGGAGAAGCUCCUCAAACCUCUUUAUCUCCAGGAUUGUCUUGUCACAUCUUGCAGAAUGCUUGAUGGUGCAAAGGCACAGCUUUUGCUCAGAUAUUGCAAGUGGGCAGGCAGAAAACAAAUGUUUGAGACUUUCAGCAGCAAACCCCACAUCACUGCCACGUCUCAAAACAUAAGAAAUUUCUGUGCAAGGUGUGAUGAGGGGAGAGGACAAAUAUCCUUCUGCCGGGGAGGGGCAUGGUACAGCUGUAAUUACUGUUCCAGUGGUAACCACAGCUGUAACAAGUGUGAUUAAGUGGUUGUGGCACAGCAGAGUGAUUCAGGAUGCUUGUGGGCUCUGCAGGGAUGUCAAGGUAAGGCUGCUGAGAUGGAUCCAGGUUCCUUCCUGUGACAGCAGAGGGGAGGUGAAUGAGAGGAAUGCCUGCAGCUUCCUGAACUCCAAUAGGUUCCAUCUCUUGAGAGAUGUUUUUCAUGUAUAAAAAAUGUUUGGGGCUCUGUUACAAUUUCAGCAGGUACAGCUUUUCAAGAGAAACCAACAAAAGGAGCAGUUCUGAAGAGGUAUCGUAUUUCCACUGCUUCCACAAGUACUGGAGAAUAGCAGGUAUAGCAAUUUCCUGUGUCAGAAAAAUCCACAAAUGCCAGAAGUUUAUGUCCAGAAAGGAGACAGAGGAGUCCUGCAACUUUGUUGGAAUAAAAAGAGAGACUCAACCAGGGCACAAGACUGUCUGGGCUCUGCAGCAAACCUGCUGCUUGAAGCUAGCAGAAACGCCAAGACCCAUUUCAAAGAUGUUAACACCCAUACCUUCACCCCUCAAAUUGUUUGUAAACACAUGAACUUUCCUCUCACUCCCUCCUCCUAGUUCUCACUUUGCCUUACAAACCCUAGUUAUGAACUGAACCCUUUUUAACUUGAACACUUGAAACACCCCCUGACCUUUCCACCUCUGGUCGUGCAAGAGGCGUGGCAAAUAAAUCCAGGGAAUAAAGCAGACACUGUCACUUCCAUUAGCCCAUUAAUCCCUAGAGGUCCUUGCCCAUGGCUACUGAUAGACAAGGUCUCCCAUCUUUUUCCUCCUGCUGAGAAGUCCAAACCCCCAGGGUUUUAGAGACCUUGAGCUGAGUGUGAGCUGUCCACCCCUGUCCAGCUGUCCUGGCAGGAUGUUAUGGACAGCAAAGUCCAGAGGCAGCGUCUGUGUGACUGGGCUUCCAUUUCAAGUGAUCCCAAACUAAC